CAGGACGAACGCUGGCGGCGUGCCUAAUACAUGCAAGUCGAACGGUCUUUCUAUGGAAGCUUGCUUCCACUGAGAAGAUAGUGGCGAACGGGUGAGUAACACGUGGGUAACCUGCCCAUAAGAGGGGGAUAACAUCCGGAAACGGGUGCUAAUACCGCAUAGUUUUCUUGAUCGCAUGAUCGGGAAAGGAAAGACGGCCUUUGUGCUGUCGCUUAUGGAUGGACCCGCGGCGUAUUAGUUAGUUGGUGAGGUAACGGCUCACCAAGACGAUGAUACGUAGCCGACCUGAGAGGGUGAUCGGCCACAUUGGGACUGAGACACGGCCCAAACUCCUACGGGAGGCAGCAGUAGGGAAUCUUCCGCAAUGGACGAAAGUCUGACGGAGCAACGCCGCGUGAGUGAAGAAAGGUUUUCGGAUCGUAAAACUCUGUUGUCAGAGAAGAACAAGUUGGAGAGUAACUGCUCCAGCCUUGACGGUAUCUGACCAGAAAGCCACGGCUAACUACGUGCCAGCCGCGGC
rnacentral:rRNA from 1 species